UACGUAGGGCGCAAGCGUUGUCCGGAAUUAUUGGGCGUAAAGAGCUCGUAGGCGGCUUGUCACGUCGGGUGUGAAAGCCCUUGGCUCAACUGAGGAAGUGCAUCCGAAACUGGCAGGCUAGAGUACUAAAGAGGGUCGCGGAAUUCCCGGUGUAGAGGUGAAAUGCGUAGAGAUCAGGAGGAACACCCGUGGCGAAGGCGGCCUUCUGGGUCCGCCCUGACGCUGAGGCGCGAAAGCGUGGGGAGCGAACGGG
rnacentral:rRNA from 1 species